rnacentral:ncRNA from 11 species
GGACCGCGACUGGCGCAGUAGAGGUGGAAGCAACCCCCGGGAAGCACCGAAGUCCGGCACCGCGCGCCUGGGUGCCUGGC